rnacentral:ncRNA from 2 species
UCAUCCGCACUAUUGGAUGGUUCCCGGGUCCGGAAACGGAUCGGGGAGUAAAUGGGAAUGUGACGUGGUGGACCCAACCAGGGCGCUGCAAUCACGGCCGACCCCGCGACUGUAGAGUGGCGAGGGACGCUCAUCCGGGUGGAGGGGAUGGCUGCGGUAAAGGGCAAUGGUGCCCCGGACGCGGUUUGUCGACCAGCCGGAAAAGCCACUGGGGUGGCAUCGCGAUAAGCAGGGGUUGGACGCCUCCAUUUCUACGAAUCGUCCACCUUUCGCGAUGCCUUUCCCGGGAAGGCGAGGGCAACCCGCAGGCGUGCGAGCGCCGGACGCCGCGAGCCAGGAAACCUGCCGGCCAAUGCGAAGGGCA